CCAGUGCCUACGUAAGGAAGCGGGACACGAUGAAAGGGCACAUUCUUCCACCGAUCGCACACGGCCGGAUUUGUCGUGUACGCGACGGCGUCUCGUGAUCUCGUCUCAAUUCGGUCACCACAUGCCGCUGGGGGGGUCGCCGACGCACGAAAAAAAUUAGCGUACCGUAUCUGCAACCUUUGGGGUGGGUUUCAGAACUGUUAGCCUCCGUAGAGCCAGAGAAACAGAUGCAGCUCCGAGCCUUUUCUGUCACUGUGCAGAAUGCGGAGGAGCCACCAGGCUUCCUAUGGCACUGACAACUAAGCGGCGGCCGUUGCAUCUGUGAGCGCCUGCGUCGUCCUUUACGAUGACUAAAGCGAAAAUGACCAGUCGGAUCAUUCCAAAAAGAGGCUCUGCGGCGCUCAGGAGGAGAUACUGAACACGUGUAAGGCCCCUUACAGAAGCCUGUUGCUGCCGCUGCAGUCACGGAUGCGCGUUACUCUCCUCGAGGGUACGGAAGUUUCAAGUGAGGGCACGGCACACCUCGGUUGCCCGAAGGCUUAGCGCCAGUCUGUGUUUUUAUUUCAAACGGUAUUUUUGUCCAUGUCAUCUUUUCGAGUGUAACAGGAUGAGAUUCCUCAGCUCUUUUGAUGUUCCACUCAUGCCAGAACACGUUGUCAAGGCAACUGCCUAUGGUCGCAGAAAAAGUGGCUGCUGCCAGUUCGCAGCGCGUGGGAUCGGAGGGGUGUUUUUUGGCCACUGCAGCAGAUGGCAAAACCCGCUGGCUCUCAAAGGUUCGUCGCUACUAAACAUGCGCGCCCCAGUGAUACGUGAGCCGCGUCAAGCUCACUAUGGAAGGAGGUGUUGAGAGAACAGCCAGAAACGGUUAAGCCGGCAACGUGCAAAUUUCAUCGGCAUGUAAUGCCUCUCUGCGGAAGGAACUGUUAUGUUCCUUUGAGUAGGUAAUACUCCCGUGUAACGAGGCAUAGGACAUGCCGGUGGCUCUCACCCAUAGGUACUCUACUGUGUCAUUAUGUGGAAGAAUGGGGCCCGGUUCCCCAUGGAAUUCUAACUUCCCACUAGUGGAGAGGAAAUCUUCUCCUGCUCAAGGGUGGCAGUUUCUCUCAAUAUUAGACUUGUGAUAACGUGCUGCGAGAUAUCCCCAACAAACGCGGAAGUCAUUUCUUCUGUGAGAAGGAACGAUUGGUAGGUGGUUCAGAGAUGCGGGUUGUGAUAACGUGCUGCGAGAUCCCCCCAACAAAUGUGGAAGUCAUUUCUUCUGUGAGGAUGAACUAUUGGUAGGUGGUUCAGAGAUGCA
rnacentral:lncRNA from 1 species